rnacentral:rRNA from 1 species
UACGUAAGUGGCGAGCGUUAUCCGGAAUCACUGGGCGUAAAGCGUGCGUAGGCGGCUUGGCAAGUUGGAUUUGAAAGCCCGGGGCUCAACUCCGGACCCGGAUCCAAAACUGCCAGGCUUGAGCGGAUCAGAGGACAGCGGAAUUCCCGGUGUAGCGGUAAUAUGCGUAGAUAUCAGGAGGAACACCGGUGGUGAAGACGGCUCUCUGGACCGUUACUGACGC